AGUGAGUGUUUCAGGUUAAUUCAAAAUGGCUGCGCCCUGAGCAUUAGGUGAAGGUGUCUGCUUUGAGCAUUGAAUAACGGAAAGACGGACGGAUAGACGGCGUUCCAUACAGAAUGGGAUGUCCAAGAUCUCCAAGGCCGUGAAGAAGGUGGACAUGGGGGGCGUGAUCCGGGCCAUCGUGAGGUUAGGACAGGCGGCUCCCGGACCUCCUCCUGGGUCCUGUCKUGGGACAGGCUAUGAGACAGCUGGGAUGGUGUCUGUGGAGGGCUGUGUAUGAGAUCGCUCAGGUCAAGGCACAGGACGAGGCCUUCAAGAUGCAGAAUGCUUCCUUAGAGACGGUCGUCAAGAGCAUCAUCGGUGCGGCUCGCUCGUUGGGCAUUGAGAUCGUCAAUGAUUAUCGGCAGAGUAUAACACUUUCCUGGAGGAGAAGGAGAGGCUGAGUGCCGAGGCUGCAGCCAAAGCAGAGUCAGUGAAGAAGAAAUGAGGGCCACCCCAUAUCCUACAUAUGCAUUUAUACUGACCCUGUACUGUACACAUACCACUCACAUACACACAUUCUGUCAUAACUGUCAUUUACAGUAGCUCUGUAUUUCUUAGCAGUUGAGUGUUUUUACGCCAAUUUUCUCUCAAUGAGAUUCAUGUUUUCUCUAGAGUUUAUUAAAUACAAAUGAUGUGCAGAAGAUGAUUUAAGGAAUGUAACUCAUCUCUCAAUAUUGGCAUUAAACCAAGCUGUAUUAAAGGAAUUUGUUAUACAAAUUGCUGCYUCU